GCAAGUCUGGUGCCAGCAGCCGCGGUAAUUCCAGCUCCAAUAGCGUAUAUUAAAGUUGUUGCAGUUAAAAAGCUCGUAGUUGAACCUUGGGCCUGGUUGGCCGGUCCGCCUCGCGGCGUGCACUGAUCCGACCGGGCCUUUCCUUCUGGGGAACCGCAUGCCCUUCAUUGGGUGUGUUGGGGAACCAGGACUUUUAC
rnacentral:rRNA from 1 species